rnacentral:rRNA from 1 species
GUGGGGAAUAUUGGACAAUGGGCGCAAGCCUGAUCCAGCCAUGCCGCGUGUGUGAAGAAGGCCUUCGGGUUGUAAAGCACUUUUGUCCGGGAAGAAAUCUUCCAGGUUAAUACCCUGGGAGGCUGACGGUACCGGAAGAAUAAGCACCGGCUAACUUCGUGCCAGCAGCCGCGGUAAUACGAAGGGUGCAAGCGUUACUCGGAAUUACUGGGCGUAAAGCGUGCGUAGGUGGUUCGUUAAGUCUGCCGUGAAAGCCCCGGGCUCAACCUGGGAAUGGCGGUGGAUACUGGCGGGCUAGAGUGCGGUAGAGGGUGGUGGAAUUCCCGGUGUAGCAGUGAAAUGCGUAGAGAUCGGGAGGAACAUCUGUGGCGAAGGCGGCCACCUGGACCAGCACUGACACUGAGGCACAAAAGCGUGGGGAGCAAACAGGAUUAGAUACCCGAGUAGUCC